rnacentral:rRNA from 1 species
UACGUAGGGUGCAAGCGUUGUCCGGAAUUAUUGGGCGUAAAGAGCUCGUAGGCGGUUUGUCACGUCUGCUGUGAAACUGGAGGCUCACCUCCAGCCUGCAGUGGGUACGGGCAGACUAGAGUGCGGUAGGGGAGAUUGGAAUUCCUGGUGUAGCGGUGGAAUGCGCAGAUAGUCAGGAGGAACACCGGUGGCGAAGGCGGCUCUCUGGACCGCAACUGACGCUGAGGCGCGAAAGCUAGGGGAGCAAACAGG